AAAUAUUUUCUUACUUUUAUUUUUUAAUUUGUUAUUUAGAGAAAUAUCUUUAUUUUUAGUAUAUAAAAGAAUUUAGUUUUUUUGUGAUAGUUAAUUAGUACCGUAGGGGAAUAAUUGAUGAAAUAUAUUGAAAUUUUAUUUGUUUUUAAGUAAUUUUUAUUUGGUGUACCUUUUGUAUCAGGGUUGAUUAAAUAUUAUUAAUUUAUUGNAUUUUCUCGAUUUCAGAAGAGCUAAUUUUUUAUUUUUUUUAAUGUUUCAUAAUUAUAAAUAAUUUAAUUUUAGUGGAGAAAUUUUAUUCGCUUUUAAAGGUAUCUAGUUUUUCAAGAAAUGAAUUUAAUUCAAUGUUAAUUUUUAAUACUUUUAUUUGUUAAGGGAAUUAUAAAUUAAUUUAAAGAUUUUAGGGGAUAAGCUCUAAGAUUUUAUUUAUAAAUUUAUUUUAUUUUAAUUUUUGUAGGAUUUAUAACGUCCAUCAAUAAUUAGUACGUUGUAGUUUAUUUUGUUUUAUGUGGAUUUUCUUUUUAUUUUAAUAUUUUAUUGAAAUAGGGUGUUUAAUUUUGUAACACUUGCAAUAAUGAUUAAAUUAGUAUAUAUAUUUGUUAAAAAUUUAAUUUUUGGGAUUAUUAAUUAAGGAACUCGGCAAAUAUAACUCUCGCCUGUUUAUCAAAAACAUGUCUUCUUGUUAUAAAUAGGAAGUCUGACCUGCCCGGUGAUUAUUAUUUUAACGGCCGCGGUAUUUUUGACCCGUGCAAAGGUAGCAUAAUCAUUAGUCUUUUAAUAGGAGGCUGGUAUGAAAGGUUUGACGAAGUGUUAACUGUCUCAAUUAAUUUAAUAUUAAAAUUUAACUUUUUAGUUAAAAGGCUAAAAUUUAGUUGAAAGACGAGAAGACCCUAUAGAGUUUAAUAUUUAUUUUAUAUAUUGUUAUUAUAAUUUUCAUUUUAUGGAAUAAAUAUUUUGUUGGGGUGACAAGAAUACAAAAAUAACUUUUUUAUUUAUGAGUCAUUGAUUUAUGUAUAUUAGAUCCAAUCUUAUUGAUUGUUAGAAUAAGUUACCUUAGGGAUAACAGCGUAAUCUUCCCUUGGAGUUCUUAUUUGCGGGAAGGCUUGCGACCUCGAUGUUGGAUUAAGAUUAUAGUCAGGUGCAGCAGCUUGAUAUAUAGGUCUGUUCGACCUUUAAAUUCUUACAU
rnacentral:rRNA from 1 species